AGGAUGUGAGGAUAAUCCAUGUGUUUAUGGCUCAUGUUACAGUCCAAUUAAUUCAGCCAGCUAUAUAUGUACAUGCAACCAGGGAUUUUCUGGAACCAACUGCAAUGAACCCACAGUGUAUUCAAUAUUCGAGUGUACUGCAGAGAUUGAUCAAAGGUGCAUGUUUGUUCAAUCCACUAAUGAUACCUUUAAUUGGGGGAAAAGAUCAGGUCCAGCUAAAUAUUAUACAUAUAGUGGAAUAACGGGUGUGACUGGUCCUGGUGGUGCAAAAGAAGGAUUUGUAUAUUUAUAUACAAGGACUUAUCCAGAUCGGAGACCGGGCGACGUUGCAGUUAUGUCUACUGAUAUAAAUU